rnacentral:tRNA from 1 species
AGGAGCUUAGGUUAACAUCAGACCAAGAGCCUUCAAAGCUCUCAGCGGGGGCGAACACCCCCCAGCUCCUG